GUCCAGUAUAAAGUCUAGUAAAAAAAAACCAGUUUAGACUGAUAGAGCUAAUUAGAAAAUAUCAGUCUUGCUUAUGUUUCCUCCUGAAUUAAACUAGACCAAUAAAGAAUGACUGUUACUGAACCUAUAGUAUCAAUAAAAUGAUUUAUAGAGACACGAGUUGUGCAUGGCACUAUCAGUCAACAACCAUACCUGGACAACGCGAUGUCAUGAGCCUUAUUAUGGCUUGUCUGUGCCGGAAAAUCGUAAAUUUAACUGAAAACUGAAGUUGUUGUUGAGCGAUUUAGUAUUGAUGUAGUUUAUUUUUACCUAUCUUCCUAAUCAUGGAUAUAUCAUGCGGAAGAGAUUAUUUCGCUGCCCUCAAAGUGACAAAACGUAACAAAGCAACGGUUUUACUAACACUAACCCUACUCCAAACACCAACUCUAACCCUAACCUUAAUCCUAACCCUACUCCAAAUUGGUUUCUAAGCCAAUCUUGAAGAAAAACGUUUUGACGAAAUGUCAUUCUGAGGUCAGCGAAAUAGUUGAUGC